rnacentral:tRNA from 4 species
GGCGCGGUAGCAAAGCGGUUAUGCACUGGAUUGCAAAUCCACGUAGGCCGGUUCGACUCCGGCCCGCGCCUCCA